UUAAAUUGAAGAGUUUGAUCAUGGCUCAGAUUGAACGCUGGCGGCAGGCCUAACACAUGCAAGUCGAACGGUAACAGAAAGCAGCUUGCUGCUUUGCUGACGAGUGGCGGACGGGUGAGUAAUGUCUGGGAAACUGCCUGAUGGAGGGGGAU
rnacentral:rRNA from 1 species